rnacentral:rRNA from 1 species
GACGAACGCUGGCGGCGUGCUUAACACAUGCAAGUCGAACGGAAAGGCCCUGCUUGCAGGGUACUCGAGUGGCGAACGGGUGAGUAACACGUGGGUGAUCUGCCCUGCACUUCGGGAUAAGCCUGGGAAACUGGGUCUAAUACCGGAUAGGAGCCAUUUUUAGUGUGAUGGUUGGAAAGUUUUUUCGGGGUGGGAUGAGCUCGCGGCCUAUCAGCUUGUUGGUGGGGUAAUGGCCUACCAAGGCGGCGACGGGUAGCCGGCCUGAGAGGGUGGACGGCCACAUUGGGACUGAGAUACGGCCCAGACUCCUACGGGAGGCAGCAGUGGGGAAUAUUGCACAAUGGGCGCAAGCCUGAUGCAGCGACGCCGCGGGGGGGAUGACGGCCUUCGGGUUGUAAACUCCUUUCGCUAGGGACGAAGCUUUUUGUGACGGUACCUAGAUAAGAAGCACCGGCUAACUACGUG